CCAUCUUGACAAAUAAUACAGGAACGCAAAUGUGCACUGCACCUUAAUUGACGACACGCGAGCUUGAGCGGUGUGGAUUCUGCUGGCGCAGGUAAGGAGUGCGGCACAAGCCCCAGGAAUAAAUCCAAAGGUGGCGACAAACGUUUAUCUCACCGCUGCCGCAGAUGCUGUGAGGAGCGCGAGAGGAGACAGAGGAGAAGAAGCACCUGGGAAAACGCCGAGUUCCGAAGACCCGCAUCGAGGAGGUCAUGAAAGGGAUGUGCGACUCGGGCCGCUACCAUGUGACGAACAACAACUGCCAGAAGUGGGCCAAGGAGCUACUGCGUCGGCUGGGCAUACAGGCGCCCUCGGGUGAACGCGACGCCCAAGCCGUGCUCCAGGAAGUCGUCCAGCCAGCCGCCACCAUGGGCCUCGGCUCCGUGGUGCUGUAUGGCGCCGUGAGGGCGGCUAAGUUCGUCUUCACCAGGGGACUCUUUUAGGAGCAACAAGACUAGCAGGAAUGGCGCCGUAUUCCUUCGCGGCCGAUUCCGCUUCGCUGCAACUCAACAGCACAUCGAACAAUAGAUGAAGAUGCUUGUCCAGAGAUUAUCUUGCGCCCAAACCUUUUGCGUAGUACCGGGCUACCAGAUUAACCGGGGGCAUAAACGUGAGCGGCCGCAUAGGUGGCGGAGAGCUUUAACUACAUAGCGUUGCAGUAACUUCGUUGCAGUAACUAGUAUAUUGUACUUUGCUGCUGGCGACGGCAGCGACGGAAGUCCUUCAGAAAUCCUUCAUAAAUUCUUGUUUCGGCGAGAAUGCCCAUGUAAGACAAAAAUAACUAUAACGCGUUCUGGUUAGGCAAAGCGUCGGUAACAGCGCCGUUGCUGCUGACCAUAUCUCCGGUAACCUGAUGUACGGUUUAGGUUAAUUAAUCUAUCUACGGACGAGCUAAGAAUCUCCACACCUGCUAUAAAAUUGUCACUUCCUUAAACCCGUUUUUGCCGCCUUGUGAUCACUGCGCUCAAGUGCAUACAGAAUUUAAAGGGAAAAUGAAAUACUUGCCGUCGAUUUCAAAAAUUGCUUCAAUAGGAUCAGAGUUAAAUGAAAAGAAGUAAUGCACUUCCAAAACAGCUAUUCGGGAAGGAAAUACUAAAAACACGCACCUAAUAAACAAUGGUGCUUAGUAAUAAACGACACUCUGCUUUCAACUGUCAACCUUCCCUACUAUGUGGAAGGUUGCAUCGUGAAACGUGAUCGAAAAGGAAGGCUUAAUAACAUCACUGUGACACCUUUUACGGACAUAAAAAUACAGUUACCAUAUUUCCUAUCAAAUAGGCAGCAAAGGUGCAAAUCUGUCGCCGCCACUGUUCUGAAAAGUUAUGAGUUAUAAAACAGGAUUGUUGCUAUUCUUCGGUAAUUUUCCCUCUUGGGCAAAUUACCGAAGAGAAACGUGCUUCUUAAACGUUAGUAACCACGUGAGUCCAACAAAAAGAGAAUAAAGCAUUCCUUAUUUUCA